rnacentral:rRNA from 1 species
UCGUGAGACAGGUUAGUUUUACCCUACUGAUGAAUGUUACCGCAAUAGUAAUUGAACUUAGUACGAGAGGAACAGUUCAUUCGGAUAAUUGGUUUUUGCGGCUGUCUGAUCAGGCAUUGCCGCGAAGCUACCAUCCGCUGGAUUAUGGCUGAACGCCUCUAAGUCAGAAUCCAUGCUAGAACGCGGUGAUUUCUUUCCCUCACACAAUAUAGAUGGAUACGAAUAAGGCGUCUUUUUGGCGUCGCUGAACCAUAGCAGGCUGGCAAUGGUAUUCUUGGCGGAAAGGCCUUGGGUGCUUGCCGGCGAAUUGCAAUGUAAUUUUGCGUGAGGAUAAAUCAUUUGUAUACGACUUAGAUGUACAACGGGGUAUUGUAAGCAG